UACGUAGGUGGCAAGCGUUGUCCGGAUUUACUGGGCGUAAAGAGCGCGCAGGCGGUCGUUCAAGUCGCGUGUGAAAGCCCCCGGCUCAACUGGGGAGGGUCACGCGAUACUGAUCGACUCGAAGGCAGGAGAGGGUAGUGGAAUUCCCGGUGUAGUGGUGAAAUGCGUAGAUAUCGUAAGGAAGACCAGUGGCGAAGGCGGGUCUCUGGACAGUUCCUGACGCUGAGGCACGAAGGCCAGGGGAGCAAACGGA
rnacentral:rRNA from 1 species